GACGAACGCUGGCGGCGUGCUUAACACAUGCAAGUCGAGCGGUAAGGCCCCUUCGGGGGUACACGAGCGGCGAACGGGUGAGUAACACGUGAGCAACCUACCCUUCACUUCGGGAUAAGCCUCGGAAACGGGGUCUAAUACCGGAUAUCACUCACUACUUCAUGGUGGUGGGUUGAAAGUUCUGGCGGUGGGGGAUGGGCUCGCGGCCUAUCAGCUUGUUGGUGGGGUAAUGGCCUACCAAGGCGCGACGGGUAGCCGGCCUGAGAGGGCGACCGGCCACACUGGGACUGAGACACGGCCCAGACUCCUACGGGAGGCAGCAGUGGGGAAUAUUGCGCAAUGGACGAAAGUCUGACGCAGCAACGCCGCGUGA
rnacentral:rRNA from 1 species